UACAGAGGCCCCAAGCGUUGUUCGGAUUCACUGGGCGUAAAGGGUGCGUAGGUGGCUUGGAAAGUUUGAUGUGAAAGCUCAGGGCUUAACCCUGAAAUGGCAUUGAAUACUAUCGAGCUGGAGGUUUGGAGGGGGACUGGAAUUCUUGGUGUAGCAGUGAAAUGCGUAGAUAUCAAGAGGAACACCAGUGGCGAAGGCGAGUCCCUGGACAACACCUGACACUGAGGCACGAAAGCCGGGGGAGCAAACAGG
rnacentral:rRNA from 1 species